AUUCUAUUCUAUUCUAUUCUAUUCUAUUCUAUUCUAUUCUAUUCUAUUCUAUUCUAUUCUAUUCUAACAAUCUGACAAAAAAGGCUGUUUUUGACCCCACAUAAAGCUGUAUUUGUUAUAGCUUACUAGAAAAUCAUAAUAGACACAUUGGUAAAUCGCAUAUGUAUUUUUAUGGUCCGGUCGUAGGUGUAACACCAACAUUAGUGACCUUCGUUUAAACGCUUUUUUUACGCAGCAAUGCAUCAUGGGAUACAUAAUGUCUCCGAAGGAUGCUAACUAUUGCUAAUUUACCAGGGAAAACAACGAGUAUAUUUUACGUUUUACUAUCUGUUCUUCCUAAUUUGUUUCGGUUUUUUUUUAUAUAUCAGAUAUAUGUUUUUAUUAACGUCAAUAGAAUCUAAACAUGUCAACGAGAGCCGAAUGCAGGGUGUCCAGUUCCACGUCCAGUUCCACGUCCAGAACGGACGAAAGGAGGAGAUCAAGCAGCAGAGGACGUGAAAAACGGAAAAGGAAACAAAGUCGAAGUAGAUCUUCCUCUUCGUCUUCAUCCAGUUCAUCCUCUUCUUCAUCCUCGUCUUCGUCGUCCUCUUGUAGCUCAUCGCACUCGUCCAGCAGCUCUCGGAGUAGCUCCAGUAGCAGUGAUUCACACAGUAAAUCCAGAAAGCAGUCCAAAAAAAGAAAGGAGAAGAAGCACAAAAAGAAGGGAAAGAAGCAAAAGACUCCUAAGCAUAAAAAAGAUAAGCGAGCUAAAGGAGAAGAAAAGUCUGGACCUGUUCAGAUCUCAAAGUACUUAAAGGACAGAGAUAAGGGCAAGUACAGUAUGAUUUCAGGAAAGAAGAUUAAAAUGAAACUAAAGAAGUCCAAAAAAGAUAAGCAGCGGGAUAAAAAUCGAGCAGAACUUUUGGAAUUUUUGAACUCGACCCUCUGAGGCCACUGCAAACUCAGCAAA
rnacentral:lncRNA from 1 species